AAAAUGCUGCCAAUGUCUUUUUCACCUUUUAUUGUUACACCGAAUGCUUGUGACUACCUUUUGCCUGUGACCCCUGAUAGCACAUUUUGAAUGUUUGUGGGAAAACAGGAAUUCCUUAUUUGUCAUGCGUUGAAAAUCCCAUUUCUUGCUUCCGAUCCAUGGAAAUGAUCGGGACAGUACAUGCACCGUCUCUCAUUGUCUGGAGGCUCUUAAAAACUCUCCUGGAAGACCUUCAUCUUCAUCUCGGGUUCUGAUCGCCCAGAUACUGAAAUCUGGCAUGGCCAGGUUGGCUCCAGGUGUUGCGAGGAAGGAAUGGAAAUGGGUGGGUCAGUGGUUGCCACUACUGAGACAGCUUCCCGAGACCACCAGCGUGGGACUCUGAUGCCCUCCGGCCUCUCCCCCAGCCAGGCUAAUGACAGGCAGAUGGGGCUGUUACAAGGGGACAAUUCCAGCUGGAACAAAUGGCCCAUUCUGUUCACCAAGAAAAGAACCAAGUCCCUUUUAUGAGCACAUUUAUUUCUUCUAGGUCACUGCCCGGAGCAAAAAUAAAGCACAUGUCUCCAGCAGCUGCUGUGCAAGGAUCUCACCUCCUUCUUCCAUAAAACCAGACCAGUUGCUGCAUUUCUAGAAGCACAGACAUGGUGCAGAGAUUGCAAGCCUGCUUUAUACCCAACAACCUCCCCGCCAGCAGGAAGUGGGUGUGGCUCCCUGCCCCGCCUCCCACUGUGGAAGGAGCCUGGCCACCAGGGAGACCACAGAGGAGGGGGAGGGGCAGUGCUCCGAGGCUGAGAUCACGCGGAAGUGCCCAGAAAGGAGGAGGCAGGAGGCUCCACUCUGCUCGCACAGCAUACACAUUUGCUUCGAUGCCCUCACCCCUUUACUCAUCAAAAAGCACUUGAAACGAAUAUGAAGAAUGGGCUGUACUGUGGACUCAUCAGCCACUGUCCCCUUCCCAUCCAGCGACCAUACUGCACACGCCAGAGCCUUUCACAUGAACACGAUGAGAACAGAUGCUGUGGGAGGUGCCAUUUCUUGGUGUGGUGAGCUCCUUGGAUGUCCACCAGAAAGUCUCACCAAGUGCCUAAGAAGUAGCUUGUUUUUUAAACAACUUGCUGUUCCAUCAAUGUUACUGGGAAGUACCUCUUCUGGCCAAAGUAUAAAUGCCAAUAUGCUCUAUCUUACUAUUAUAAUCAAAAGUCACUAUAAAAAUAUGAAUACAGAAUAGGUUCUAUUAUUAUAAAUAAAUAUUCCUGCUGCUGUAUUAUUAAAAGAAUUGUUUCUGCUGUGCUACCGCUGCUGUUGCUAGCACAGAGGAACAAGAUUGGGUGGGAGAGCCCACCUCCCUGGAAGUCUACACCAUCUGUCAAAGCCGUGGACCCACCAGGAUAGACAAGUCUGUCUCUACCUCCACUACCUCCUAACUUUAAUUUAAGGUAUUGUUCUGAGCAGAUUUCAGACCUUUGCAGAACUGCAAAAACCUGCAUUUCCCUGCUGAGGUCAUUAUGUGAAAAGUUGUUGCAAUGAAAUGGAUUCAGUAAUUGUCAAAAAUGUAAAUGUUCAGACAUACUAGGAAUAAAAAAAUUGCAUUUAAAUAUUGGUUGUGUUUAUGUGCAAGCUUCAUCAGAAACCCAUGCAAGUCUCAAAGAAAGAGUAACAGAAUUCUUUUGAGUACAGUCCAUUGUACAGCAACAGGAGGGAAGUUAACUGAGGACCAAGAAGACAUGCUGAUGACCUGGUCAUGUCCCACUGACCCUGACACAGUGUAGCUAGUCAAGGAAAGUGUGGAGUAUAAUGAGGGGGAUAAAACCUACACAGUGGGAAAGGAAUGAUGGAGACAUCCAGAAUCUCUUUUUCAAUCUAGUUACUGCCCCAAGCCUUCUAUUGCUGGAGCUUAUUAUAUACUGGAACUGAUUUUCCAAAAACUCACAACAAAGCUGAAAAUCCUCUGCCGGCCAGUUUGGCCACCUGGGGGCCUGGGGACACCUCUGCCUCCUUUGUUGCCACUCUUCUCUCCUCAUCUCCAAUCAAUAGCAAAUUUCACCUUUUAGGUGUUAUGUCCCCCUUCUAAUGUUGUCCUGAUCUCAUCUGACAGGCCCCCAGUGGGGGUAGGAGGUGCACCGAGUGAGGUCUUAGCCCCAUGUCUCUCUCCUGCCUCCAUCUCCUCUCCAUUUCCAUCCCACCUAUGGCCAGAGCAGCUUCUAAAGACACAGGUUUGACCACAGCCCUCCCGCCUGAAACCCCUCCAUGGUUCCCGUGGUCAAGGCCUGUUGCCCGCAGUUCCCAAUUCUUCCAUGUAACGCCCUGCUCACUCUGGAUUGUCUUGUGAAUUAAAUUAGGGAGCGUUCUGACUCUCAGAUACCCUAACAAAUCCAUUCAGCAUGUCUAGCAGCACAGCCCACGCCGUGCUGGACUGGAAUGGACAGCAGGUCCAGCGAGGCUUGGGCCCUCCAAGGUGCUAACCCUCCUUCAGGCACCUUCCUGACUCUUUCACUGGGGUCCUGUGACCCUGCCUACGUCCCGUCUCCCUUAGGUGGCUCAAGAGGUCCUCAGCGAUAGGAUCCCGUUUCCCUCUCGGUCAUGUCUCCCCUACCCCAUCCGCCAUCUACGGGGCGGGGCGGGGGUCAUAGCAUUUCUAACCAGUUACCGUUCCCUACAGAGUUCCCAGGUCGGCUGCCUCUGUGGCCCCAUGUCCUCCUGGAUUGGAGUUCUCCUGCCACCGCCCACAAGCCUCCUUCCCUCAUUCUCAAGAUGCAGUGGGGUGGGGUCCUGCCUCUGCAAAGAACUUCUGACCCUCCGCAUAGAGCUCGGAGCCCCAUCCCCUCUUUUGGAUGCUUUCAGGACAAACUGGGCAUUUAGUCCUCAUAACUAACGUGUGAGGCUAAAAAUGUAUUUUCAUGCACCUGCCUCCCUAACUUUGUACAGGUCAGCCAGCAUUUGUACUUCUGCUUUCCCAAAACCCUCAGAUCCUGGAAAACAGUGGACAUUUAACAGAGGCUUCAGAACAGAAGCCAAAGCACCCUCCCGCUCCCCCCAGCCAGAGCAUAAGUACGCACCCCUCACAGGUGCCAUCUGGGUUGUGAGGGCCUCCUCGGACGUCUGGGUGUCACAGGUCCGGGGCCUUUUCCGUGACAGCAACUCCCCACCCCCUGCCAGUCCCAGUCGGGCUCCACUGGCUGGUGCUGCUCCGACAUCCGAGUUCACCAUUUCUGAAUCUCCCUCCGGACCACAGCGUCUCCCUGCAGCUGUGCCGGGUCCUCACUGGCAUCUCCAGGCCUGACCCGCUGGUCUCCUUGCCCCAACUC